rnacentral:lncRNA from 1 species
UUAUAUACCUAGACGCUCAGCCACUCCCUCCCUACCCACGCGCUGCCGGCGCUGACCGCCGCCAUCUGAAGACAGGGGAGAUAGCCAUAAUUACCUUAUGGUAAUUAUGCAGGUGCGGAAUCUUCCAAGCGCACGGCAGCCUUGUCCAUCCAAGUUGAGCACUGGGCGCCGUUCGAGUAGAGCACCACGCCUCGUCCAAGUUCCCAUCUAAUGUUGAAUAAUAUACCGCUGAGUGCUAUUGACGGUCAGUUACUUCUUCCUUUCAUGCUGCACAUGUGAACUGAAAACUGUAGAAAAGAGAGUUUAGUAUGUUUUGGAGAGCUUAAUUUCCCAAGUGACAAAUUUGAUCUGUACCAGUAAGUACAUGAUUAAUAUUUUAUAAUAUGUGUGGUUCCAGUAAGUACAUGAGUACUAUUUAGCAUGUUUGAUUGCUUCUGAAUAAUGAAAAUGUGUGUGUACUGAUGCAUUUCAAAAAUUGUGAUGUGUGUUCUCAGGAAAAAACAUUUUCUGGUUGUUGGUGCCGCUGGAUAACUGUCAUAGUUUGUUGCCAGCAAAGUUCUUGAACUUGGCCUAUACCAGUAGUAGAACUUACUAGUUCUCCGUGACAUAAAAUUGAAAACAGACAAAAAAUUCUCAAGUAAUGUAAUCUGUAGCAAAACACAGGAAUUUUUUUAUCGAAAUGUUGCACAAGUAGUGUUCCAUUUAUCUUUCUCUCAUGCCUGCCCUUUUGAUCUUAUAGGAAUUGAGGCUUCGCCAAGGAACAAGACUGGUAACUAGCGCAAAGGAGACUAUGUCGAGAGGUGGCACUGCUAGACUUGCUGAUGUGUAGUUAUGGCAUAAAAAAGAUGAAAAAAUGGUAUCUUCUAUGAUUCCAUAAGGUGCACGUAGCAAAUCUUCCCAUGUGGAUCAGUACAACUUAUGUAUGGCCUUUAGUUCACAAAUCUUAUAGUAAUCUUUGUAGUACUCUUCAUAACACUUUGUUCCAUGUGGAUCAGUACAACUUACAAGGCUAGUUUCCUAAGAGAUGUACUCUUUGUGAAUUUCUUUGUAUUUUCGUAAGCUGAUGGUAUCAUGUUUUGUUUAAAA